UACAGAGGGUGCAAGCGUUAAUCGGAAUUACUGGGCGUAAAGCGCACGUAGGCGGUUUUUUAAGUCAGAUGUGAAAGCCCCGGGCUCAACCUGGGAAUUGCAUUUGAAACUGGAAAACUAGAGUGUGUGAGAGGGGGGUAGAAUUCCAAGUGUAGCGGUGAAAUGCGUAGAGAUUUGGAGGAAUACCAGUGGCGAAGGCGGCCCCCUGGCACAACACUGACGCUCAGGUGCGAAAGCGUGGGGAGCAAACAGGAUUAGAAACCCCAGUAGU
rnacentral:rRNA from 1 species